CCUACGGGUGGCAGCAGUGAGGAAUAUUGGUCAAUGGGCGAGAGCCUGAACCAGCCAAGUCGCGUGAAGGAUGACGGCCCUACGGGUUGUAAACUUCUUUUGUCGGGGAGCAACUGGGUCCUCGCGUGGGCUUAGCGAGAGUACCCGAAGAAAAAGCAUCGGCUAACUCCGUGCCAGCAGCCGCGGUAAUACGGAGGAUUCAAGCGUUAUCCGGAUUUAUUGGGUUUAAAGGGUGCGUAGGCGGUUCGAUAAGUUAGAGGUGAAAUCCCGGGGCUCAACUCCGGCACUGCCUCUGAUACUGUCGGACUAGAGUUUAGUCACGGUAGGUGGAAUGUAUGGUGUAGCGGUGAAAUGCAUAGAGAUCAUACAGAACACCGAUUGCGAAGGCAGCGUACCAAACUACGACUGACGUUGAGGCUCGAAAGCGUGGGUAGCAAACAGGAUUAGAUACCCCUGUAGUC
rnacentral:rRNA from 1 species